UACGUAGGGACCAAGCGUUGUUCGGAUUUACUGGGCGUAAAGGGCGCGUAGGCGGCGUGGUAAGUCACUUGUGAAAUCUCUGAGCUUAGCUCAGAACGGCCAAGUGAUACUGCUGUGCUAGAGUGCAGAAGGGCAAUCGGAAUUCUUGGUGUAGCGGUGAAAUGCGUAGAUAUCAAGAGGAACACCUGAGGUGAAGACGGGUUGCUGGGCUGACACUGACGCUGGAGGCGCGAAAGCGUGGGAGCAAACAGG
rnacentral:rRNA from 1 species